rnacentral:misc_RNA from 1 species
GGGAAUUCAAGUAUUGAGAUGGAAAACAAAUAGCUUUAGACAAAUGAACAGGAUGUAAUAAGUGGAAUGAAUUGGCUAUAUGAAACACAAAGCGUGACUGUUGUUGCCAUGUAGUUAUCCAAGUGAUAGCUUUGUUUGCCUAUAAAAUAAGGAAAUCCAAAUGUCUUAGCUAGUUUUUUAAAUCCUCUGUCUCCAAUUCACAGCUACAACUCAUGUGCC